rnacentral:rRNA from 1 species
CUGGCUCAGUCGUACAGGUAGCCGUAGAGUUUGAUCCUGGCUCAAUCGGUGAGUAAUGCCCAGGAUCUGCCUGGUAGUGGGGGACAACGUUUCGAAAGGAACGCUAAUACCGCAACGUCCUACGGGAGAAAGCAGGGGACCUUCGGGCCUUGCGCUAUCAGAUGAGCCUAGGUCGGAUUAGCUUGUUGGUGAGGUAAUGGCUCACCAAGGCGACGAUCCGUAACUGGUCUGAGAGGAUGAUCAGUCACACUGGAACUGAGACACGGUCCAGACUCCUACGGGAGGCAGCAGUGGGGAAUAUUGGACAAUGGGCGAAAGCCUGAUCCAGCCAUGCCGCGUGUGUGAAGAAGGUCUUCGGAUUGUAAAGCACUUUAAGUUGGGAGGAAGGGUUGUAGAUUAAUACUCUGCAAUUUUGACGUUACCGACGAAUAAGCACCGGCUAACUCUGUGCCAGCAGCCGCGGUAAUACAGAGGGUGCAAGCGUUAAUCGGAAUUACUGGGCGUAAAGCGCGCGUAGGUGGUUUGUUAAGUUGGAUGUGAAAGCCCCGGGCUCAACCUGGGAACUGCAUCCAAAACUGGCAAGCUAGAGUACGGUAGAGGGUGGUGGAAUUUCCUGUGUAGCGGUGAAAUGCGUAGAUAUAGGAAGGAACACCAGUGGCGAAAGCGACCACCUGGACUGAUACUGACACUGAGGUGCGAAAGCGUGGGGAGCAAACAGGAUUAGAUACCCUGGUAGUCCACGCCGUAACGAUGUCAACUAGCCGUUUGGAAUCCCUUGAGAUUUUA